rnacentral:misc_RNA from 1 species
GAUGAAGAACGUAGUGAAAUGCGAUAAGUAAUGUGAAUUGCAGAAUUCAGUGAAUCAUCGAAUCUUUGAACGCACAUUGCGCCCGCCAGUAUUCUGGCGGGCAUGCCUGUUCGAGCGUCAUUUCAACCAUCAAGCCCCCGGCUUGUGUUGGGGACCUGCGGCUGCCGCAGCCUCCUAAAAGCAGUGGCGGGCUCGCUAUCACACCGAGUGCAGUAGAUUACUCUUCGCUCAGGGCGUGCAGCGGGUUCCGGCCGUGAAACCCCCUACUUUUAAAGGUUGACCUCGGAUCAGGUAGGAAUACCCGCUGAACUUAAGCAUAUCAAUAAGCGGAGGA